rnacentral:rRNA from 1 species
UUUAUUUGAUAGCACCUUACUACAUGGAUAACUGUGGUAAUUCUAGAGCUAAAACAUGCUAAAAAUCCCGACUUCGGAAGGGAUGUGUUUAUUAGAUUAAAAACCAAUGCCCUUCGGGGCUCCUUGGUGAUUCAUGAUAACCGCUCGAAUCGCACGGCCUUGCGCCGGCGAUGGUUCAUUCAAAUUUCUUCCCUAUCAACUUUCGAUGCGAAGGUAUUGUCUUCGCAUGGUUACAACGGGUAACGGAGGGUUAGGGCUCGACCCCGGAGAAGGAGCCUGAGAAACGGCUACUACAUCCAAGGAAGGCAGCAGGCGCGCAAAUUACCCAAUCCCGACACGGGGAGGUAGUGACAAUAAAUACUGAUACAGGGCUCUUUUGGGUCUUGUAAUCGGAAUGAGUACAAUUUAAAUCCCUUAACGAGGAACAAUUGGAGGCAAGUCUGGUGCCANNNNNNNNUAAUUCCAGCUCCAAUAGCGUAUAUUAAAGUUGUUGUGGUUAAAAAGCUCGUAGUUGAACCUUGGGCCUGGCUGGCCGGUCCCCCUCACCGGGUGCACUGGUCCGGCCGGGCCUUUCCCUCUGUGGAACCGCAUGCCCUUCACUGGGUGUGCCGGGGAAACAGGACUUUUACUUUGAAAAAAUUAGAGUGCUCCAGGCAGGCCUAUGCUCGAAUACAUUAGCAUGGAAUAAUGGAAUAGGACGUGUGGUUCUAUUUUGUUGGUUUCUAGGACCGCCGUAAUGAUUAAUAGGGACAGUCGGGGGCAUCAGUAUUCAAUUGUCAGAGGUGAAAUUCUUGGAUCUAUUGAAGACUAACUACUGCGAAAGCAUUUGCCAAGGAUGUUUUCAUUGAUAAGGAACGAAAGUUAGGGGAUCGAAGACGAUCAGAUACCGUCGUAGUCUUAACUAUAAACUAUGCCGACUAGGGAUCGGACGGUGUUUAUACUUGACCCGUUCGGCACCUUUCGAGAAAUCAAAGUGCUUGGGCUCCA